UACAUACAGCGCCUCCCUCAAAAGAUCACGUUCUCAUCACAGCGUCGGCGGCGGCCUCCUCCACACUGCCACCGUCCAUCACGUUUGCAGCAGCCGGCGGCAGAUCUGAGGUCUUUAGCUCUGUAAUUUACCAUUCUCGUUGUAACUCAAUGAAGUUUCUGGACUGGUACGUGAAGAUUGGAGUCGUAUCAGCUGCAAUCGGAGGCUCAAUGGAGUAUUUUAUGAUCAAAACCGGCUUCUUGCCCUAGUUUCAUCAUUUCUACUGGAGUUAAAUGCAAGAGUAAACUGUCAUUUUGGUCCCUGAGGUUUGGUCACUUUUAACACUUUAGGGCACUCGGGGCGUAUUCGGUGAAGCUCAUCGGGGAGGUGAGAUCCCGAUCGGCAAAGCUCCGCCAGCCCUUCGGGAGAGGAAAUCGGGGAGGAGAGAUGGUGGGGAACCGGUGGCGGCUCACCGAGAGAGAGGGAGGAGAGAGAAGGCAGCUGUCCAAUCAGACGACAAAGUGACGGUUCUUGAAUCAGAAAAGAGAGCAUGGGAGAAUUCACCGGAAGCACAAGCCAUGCGAGAAGCCCUCAAUCCUUGGAGAAACACUGAUGCAAAUGCUAGAAAACCUUCUUAACAUUCCUCUGUUUGAGAUUUCCUCUUGUUUCUUAUUAUGUUCUAUAGAAUAUUGACUAUAACUUGUCGUCUUCAUAAACAAAAUGAAACUAAGAUGAACCUAUAUAUGUUGCAUUUACACAGCAUACAUGAGGUGCAUCAUGUGUUUUUUUUUUUUUUUUCUAAAUGAGUGGGUCGGUCUUGUUGGCUGUCGGGUGAAUGGUUUCGGUCAAGACAAGUACCAUUAUUGUGUUUUAAAGCAGGCCAUGCCAAGGCAGAUUGACUUGCAAACUUUGUUUCACUCUGGUGAGGGUCAGCAACACUCCGGAUCAAACGCUACAGAUAUCGCCUUUCUUGUGACAUGCAACAACUAUUAUGUAUUAAACUGGUUUAAGUGGGUUCAACCCGGGUUGAUGGUUUGUAAAGCGCAACCCUAUGAAACAAGUUCGGGUUGGGUUGGGACCGGGUUGAGCUCUCAAACCGGGUUCAACCCUAUUGCUUAAACCUAUUUAAGAAAAAAAACUCUUUAACAAAAUAUAAUAUGAUAAACAUAAAUAAUGAAAGGUUCACACUAUAUAGAGAGAGAGAAAGGAUAAUAAGAAAACCCUUAUGAGCCCUAAAAACUCAAGAAACUCAAUCUCCACCAUCCAUCUCGAAAUCUUAAGGUGAGAUUGCAUGCUACAUAAAGUAACCUUUCAGAAACAUCUUACAGACUGACAAAAGUACGUGUAACAGUUUUUUGCUUUUUCACUUUUCUGCCUGACACAUUGACAUGUAACAGGCCUGUCUCUUACACUAAUUUUUUUCAAUGAAAACAUGUAAUAUGUUUUUUACAUGCACUACACAUUGAAAACUUGUAAAUUUUAACUUCGAAAACGUUACACCUCGUAAAACCAGCAAAAUUUGUUGUUGAAAACCAAAAAAAGUGUAACAUGUGAUGUUACAUCUAUGUAAACGGCGAAGAUGUGUAACAUAUUAACUUUCUCUCUCCUGACAAAAGUUGUUACAUGUCCAGAAUUCUGAAAAACGUUGUAACACGUGGCAACAUGUGGUCCAUCCAUUGAAUUUCUUGAGUUUAUAAAAAAACAUUUACUACAUAUACAUUUUCAACUUGAGGGAAUAGUGCCAGGCAGCUUGCCUGGCACUUCCCUAUUGAAUCAACCUAUUUUAAGUUUAUUUUAUUUUCAGUUUAAAAUUACGGUUUUGGCCAUUAUUUAAAAUUACUUUUUUGCUCUCAGUUUAAAAUAAAAUUACGAUUUUGCCAUCAGUUCAAAAACUCAUUUUUUAUUUUAUUCCCAGUAUAAAAUUACUGUUUCGCCCUCCGUUUAAAAUUACGGUUUUGCCCCCAACUCAAAAUAAAAUUAUGUUUUUCCCCUAGCUAGAAAUUACGAUUUUGCCCUCAGCUCAAAAUUACGUAUUUGCCGACAGUUCAAAAUAAAAUAAUGUUUUCCCCCAUAGCUCAAAAGUAUGAUUUUGCGCUCAGUUUAAAAUUAUGAUUUCGCACCCAGUUCAAAAUAUAAUUACGAUUUUGCCCUCUGUUCACAAUUAUGAUUUUGUUCCCAUUUCAAAAUUACGAUUUUGUUCCCACAGCUGCCUGACACUUCCCCAUUGGUUCAGUCAAUUUACGAUUUUGCCC
rnacentral:lncRNA from 1 species